GAAAAGAAAAGCUGGAGGAGGGUGGCUUCGCAGCCAGGGUAAACAGCACAGCCAGAUGGCUGCCAUCAUUUCUCGCCACUCCAGUCGCCCUCCUGCCUCCAAGUCACAGGCGGGCUUCACUUCGCACCAUGUCCCAAAGGGAGAAACAAGACUCAGAGAAGUCCAAAGAAACUAAGCUGAGAAGCAGACAGCAGAACAAAAGUUCAAGUCCGACGUUCUGUGCCUUCAGGCAACAGCCAUGAAACAAGAGGUCACAGCUGUGGAAUGGCUUGAGCCCUACCUCUCAUCACAGAUUUCGUUAUGCUCCAUUGGUAGAAACAAA